AGUGAGAAAUGGAAAAAAGCUUUGAAAACUACUUCAACUAGCAAGUGUAAGAAGAGAAAGUAAGUGCAACUAUCGAAUUCGAACGAGUCUUCCAGUGAUGAGCAAUUGGAAGGAGGUUUUGAAGAAGAAGAUGAUGGGGUAGAGGUAGAUUCCCAAUCAGCGGCUGAACAUAAAGGGGAAAUUGUGACUAGAUGCUCGUUUCAGAGGGUAAGUCGAAUUGUGUGCAUGAUGUCUAAGGAACAGAAAUCAAUGGUAAGAGCAACUGAAUUUGGAUCAUUUCUAAGGAAAGAUUUCCCUAACAUCUACACUCCUUUAGUGCCGUGGCUAGUGGAUAGUGUAGAUGUCAGUAAGAGCUGCCUAAAAUUAUAUGGGAAAGAGUUGUCGAUAUCUGGGAAGAUAUUGCAGCUGGUGAUGGAUAUACCCGACGAGGAUGAUGUGAUCGAAGCUAAUGAGAAGGUUCCCCAGUCAGAGUUGAAGUCUAGGUUGCUUAGUAAGAAGCGACGGGUCGAAAGGUCAGAUUUUAGAACUUCAUCUAGUGAACUACAAGGACGCAGACAAUUAUUUUUUAUCUAGUAUGAUCAUGCUUAUUGUUGGGAGUGUAUUGGUGCCAGAAACUUGGAAUCAACUGUGUACGUCAUAUAUUAUUGUUGUGUCUGAUUUGAGUAGAAUUACUUCCCACAAUUGGGCCACCCACAUUUUUGGAGAGCUUAUGAAGUCUAUUGGCAAGUAACAAGCUGGCCAAUUGGUCCACCUAAUUGGAUGCACGACUUUCCUCCAGAUGAGGCGCAAAAGCUAAAGACUUAUCCUUUGAACAACGGUGGCUAUAGUGCUUGCAGAGAGGAUAGAAUUGUUGAUGGGGUUCUUCUUGGGCUGAGUCGAAAAGUGAGUGGGAGUUUCUCCAAUACAAUGUUGCUAGAGCAGGUUACAAAAUUUGGUUAUCAGAUGGAAGCACUGAUUGCAUUGACGGUUGCCCUACCUGAUACUCUUAAGAUUAUUAUAUCAAGGGAGUUAAGUAUUAUGAGGGACAAUUCUCAACCAAAAGAAAAUGUAGAUUGUAGAGGCAAGGAAAAUAGUGGAAAUGAAGGAGUAAAUGCCCAAGACAAGGAAUUUUCUGCUGACGACCUUGAAAAGGUACCUGAAGUGUUUGAUUUGACCGCUGUGGGAAAUGCUUAUCUUAUUCCAGCCACUACCACGCUUUCUAAAUUGAUUGAGGUGAAUAUGUGGGGUGUUGAGGGUUACCAAAAUUUUUGUUUAGCCAAUCGGGUUGUGGCAGGGCCUUUCUGGCUGGGAGCAUACGUGUUCCCACAGAUGUACAAAUUGGCAAACUAUAUGUACAACCCCGUUCUUAGUGAUUUUGGAUUGCUACUGCAUGCUGUCAUUGUUGCCUGACAAAUGAGUUCCCAGGGAGGCAAGUAUUAUUUAAAAAAUAGCUAGAGUUAAUAAGUUAGUUUUUGGAUGUUAUUCUUUUUUCUUGGACUUCUUAUUUAAUAAAUCUUUGUCUGCAGAUAAUAAAAUGCUAUGCUAGAAUAUUGACAAACGAAGAGAAGAAGAAAUAUCGAUCUGGACAACCUCAUUCAGUUUGGUUUAUGCCUACAAUAAUUUAUAUGGUUGUCCCUAUUUUGAGUGACAUGUUUUCAGAAGCUUGGCAUUGGUUCGUAGACCGGGAGAAAAAAAAUAAAAAGUUGUUGACAUUUGGGUUUCAUUAACCAGUGAUGAAACAAUGGCCGAGAGGUUGGACAAACUAAAGAAAUGUUUGAUGCAAUUGAAGAGAGAUAUAGGAUCAAUAAUCUUAUUGUUUGUCAUGAGCUGAAUGAACUAAGGAAGCAAGUCAUGUGCGAUAAUGAGGACCAUUUUGAGAUUAAUGUUGUUGGUGCUAGUGGUGACACUGGAGUUCCUUAGGUGAUAAACCAACUGCAGCUAGGGAAUCGCUUGGUAGUACAGCCGCUUCUCCACUAAAAAAGCCAAAAGCAGGAAUAUGAUUUCCACUAUGUUAUCACGAACAAGGAGUUGUAAUUUGGCUGCCAGGAAACUAGACGUUUGAUUGGGUCGCAAUGAACAACUUGGUCUUUUGCUGUGUUUUGUUUUUUAGCUUCGGAAGUCAAAAUGUUUUGAUAUUAGGGUACCUUUUAUUUUGUAUUCGGUCUAUGAAGGCACUUAUAAACUUCUAAGUGUUUCCUAAUUUUGUUCAAUGACAUUACUCCAACUGGGAGGUUUGACUGUGAUCUUGGAGG